rnacentral:rRNA from 1 species
AUGACUAAAGAUAAUUUAGCUAAAAGAGGCAUUGAAAAACCCCUUGAUUGUGUCUACUGUAUAGACAAAGAAACCAUUGCUCACCUUUUCUUUGGGUGUGUGGUGGCCAAACAAAUCUGGCGGCAGGUCUUAAUUCUGCUCUCCAUUGACCUAGGUUCAGAUUAUCUCUCAAUUGCCAGGUUUUGGCCUGCCAGCAAGAAACACACAAUGCUAAACUCUAUAUGUGCAUGCAUUAUUUGGACUUUGUGGAAGAACAGAAAUGCCCAUGUUUUUAGUAAUGCUGUGUGGAUUGAUUUGAAACAGAUUUGGAGAAAAGUGCUGGGGACAAUGAGGAGAUGGACGAUCUUGCUCAGGGAGGAAGCAAUCCGGCAGUGGGAGAAGAUAUCAAGCUAGAUUUCGGUUAUUUUGGAAACCCCAUUCCAAAUCAUGGCAAGGUGA